AAGUACAGGCCAACUAUUUCAAAGUGAUUUACUUCACCCUCUUAACGUAUCUAAAGAGUGUUUUACUUCGAGGUUCUUGGCAAAGCCACUCUGAGUGUGUAAAUAAAUUAGCCAUCUCUAUUCACUUGUAUGUUCCUUUUGUUAGAACCUGACAUUUCAAUUCUUAAACAGAUAACAUAUAGGAUAGAGCAGUCAAUCAUGCCAUUUGGUUUGGUCUCAGCGUGGAACAAGCGCCGCAGAAGCAAGUCUCAAGAUCAUACAGAUCCCUGGGUUUACAAACCUGCACAGCUUUGGCAACUUGAAGAUCAAACACCACGACCUACAAAAAAGCUGCACGGAUCAUCUGUUUUCACACUGAAGGAGAUGGAAGAGGCAACCUGUUCUUUCAGUGAUGAGAAUCUGCUUGGAAAAGGAGGAUUUGGCAAAGUCUACCGGGGCACUUUACGGUCAGGAGAGGUCGUAGCAAUCAAGAAAAUGGAGUUGCCAGCAAUUAAAGCAGCAGAGGGGGAACGUGAGUUUCGUGUUGAAGUUGACAUCUUGAGCAGACUAGACCACCCAAAUCUUGUUUCUUUGAUAGGCUACUGUGCUGAUGGAAAGCAUAGAUUCCUAGUAUAUGAAUAUAUGCGCAAUGGGAACCUGCAAGAUCAUUUGAAUGGAAUUGGAGAUAGAAACAUGGAUUGGCCUCGAAGACUCAAGGUGGCACUAGGAGCUGCAAAAGGGCUUGCUUAUCUCCAUUCAAGUUCCGAUGUUGGAAUUCCUAUUGUUCAUAGGGACUUCAAAUCGACCAAUAUUCUCUUAGAUGAGAACUUUGAAGCAAAGAUAUCUGAUUUUGGGCUUGCCAAGUUAAUGCCAGAAGGACAGGAGACACAUGUGACUGCCAGAGUACUUGGUACCUUUGGCUAUUUUGAUCCUGAGUAUACAUCGACUGGGAAACUCACUCUACAAAGUGAUGUUUAUGCUUUUGGUGUUGUUCUUUUGGAGCUUUUAACUGGACGUCGAGCUGUAGAUCUAAACCAAGGUCCCAAUGAUCAAAACCUUGUACUACAGGUAGGAAAUGCACCCACACACAUUGCACACACUGAGGGCAUCAAUCCAUAGGAAUGGUAAAAGCAACAUAUAGGACUGCAAAAUUUGCCACUAUUUUUUCUUUCAUUCAAAAUUAAAUAAGGGUAGUACCUAUUGUAGAAAAAACGGUAGAAAUUUCCUUAAGUGGUUUGGUUUGGGAAUGUGUAGAAACAAUCCGUAGAAAGUCUUGGUAAGGAGAGUAGAUAAGAUGGAGGAAAGCUGAACAGUGGAUGCAGAGGUCAAUAGUUUGUCUAUAAACAUGAUUUUCACAUAACAUUAUAGCACUGUUUGAUCUAUGUAACUGACCUCCCCUAGCAGAAAAAGACUUGGUUGUUGCAUUUAAAAAUAAUUGAGUUUUUUAAUGUGAGGGCAAGAAAAAUAAAUAUUAACCAUUAGAUUUUAUAAUAACUGGUUAAGAUUAAACUACAUAAGUCAUAAGACUUCAAAAAACUUUUAAGUUUGAUCUUCCAUGUAUACUUGUCUAUACUGCUUAGGUUUGCAACUUUCACUCUUAUAAACAUGACUUUUUCACUAGAAACAGCUAUAUAUAUAAUGAUCAAGAUUAAAAAACUAAUGAUCAAGGUAAAAAUAUAGUCGUGUGACUUUUAGUUUUAGAAAACUUCUAACAUUCACCAUCCAUGUGACAUUGGAUUCUCAAAAUUAGCUCCCCUUACAAUCAGUUAGCACUCUCGCUUGAAAUGCCCCCACAUACAUUCAUACAGGCAAACACACAUGAUGCAAAAGAUUCUGGUUUGCAUUUUCCAGAAUAGUAGAUGCAUGCAAAAACAACCAAGCAUUUUCCUACUAGCUGAGGGAUAUGAUAUUUUUACUCUUGUUGAGUAAUACACCCUUAGCCUUAGUUCAUAGUACAACGAAGAAACAACAUGAGCUGUCCUCAACAGAAAGGAACAGGCCACAGAAACAAACUGGGUCACGUGAAGAAGAGAGGGUUACCUGUUACUGCAUUUUCUUUCCUUGCUCUUAUACUGUACUAGAAAAGGUCAGGCACAUAUUGAAUGAUCGCAAGAAGCUGCGCAAGGUGGUAGAUCCAGAGAUGGCUCGAAAUUCUUACACCAUUCAGUCUAUAGUCAUGUUUGCCAAUCUGGCAUCAAGAUGUGUUCGUACUGAGAGUAAUGAGAGACCUUCAAUGGCAGAAUGUGUAAAAGAACUCCUAAUGAUUAUCUAUACAAAUUCAAAAGGCUUGGGAAUGGUUAUG